rnacentral:rRNA from 1 species
GAUCAAGCUACAAAGAGCAUACGGAGGAUGCCUUGGUACAUGGCGCCGAAGAAGGACGUGACAAGCUGCGAAAAGCUGCGGUGAGGAGCAAAUAUCCUAUGACCCGCAGAUAUCCGAAUGAGGGAACUCAGCACGGUUAAUACCGUGUUAUCGUUAAGUGAAUACAUAGCUUAACGAGGGGAACCCGGGGAACUGAAACAUCUUAGUACCCGGAGGAAAAGAAAGUAAAAACGAUUCCGCGAGUAGUGGCGAGCGAAAACGGAGGAGCCCGAAAGAGGAGUAGAAAUACUCCUCCGGUAUCAAACGCGAAACUGACCUUAGCCGAAGACGGUUGGAAAGCCGUCCCAAAGAAAGUGACAGGCUUGUAGGCGAAAAGGUGAGCGAGCAGAUACACAGAGUACGUCGGAACACGAGGAAUUCUGACGGAAUAAGCGGGGACCAUCCCGUAAGGCUAAAUACGACCAUGUGACCGAUAGCGAAUAGUACCGUGAGGGAAAGGUGAAAAGAACCCCGGGAGGGGAGUGAAAUAGAACCUGAAACCGUGUGCUUACAAGCAGACAGAGGACUACGGGAAACCAGUCUGAUGUCGUACUUUUUGUAGAACGGGCCGGCGAGUUACGAUUUGAUGCGAGGUUAAGAGAUAAAGUCUCGGAGCCGAAGCGAAAGCGAGUCUGAAAAGGGCGCGAGAGUAUCGAGUCGUAGACCCGAAACCUGAUGACCUAACCAUGAGCAGGUUGAAGCAAUGGUAAAACGUUGUGGAGGACCGAACCCACGCCUGUUGAAAUAGUCGGGGAUGACUUGUGGUUAGCGGAGAAAUUCCAACCGAAUCAGGAUAUAGCUGGUUCUCCUCGAAAUAGCUUUAGGGCUAGCCUCGUUUUAGAUUACCGAAGGUAGAGCACUAAAUGGCCUAGGGGGCUUCACAG